CAGGGAGACAAAAAUAGAUUAUGAUGUCUGAUUUAAAAUUUAGGCCUUAAUCCUGUCACCUUAGGUCGAUCGGUACCUCAGAAUAACUAAAUUUUUGAGAAAUCAAUUUUUUUAUUUGUUAUUUUUAGUUCCUAAACUUGUCUAGGUCACACCCAACAAACUUUUCUCUUGGGCUAUUAGCUCAGGCGGUUAGAGCGCACCCCUGAUAAGGGUGAGGUCCCUGGUUCAAGUCCAGGAUGGCCCAUUCGUUGUUGGGGGUAUAGCUCAGUUGGUAGAGCGCCUGCUUUGCAAGCAGGAUGUCAGCGGUUCGAGUCCGCUUACCUCCACUGAUCAACUGCCUGAUAACUCAAUUUGGAGAUUGUUGUUUGUUGAAUGUGAUUUAGAUUUGUUCAUCUGAUUAGAACCUAGCUUCCUAUCACUCCUUCAUAUUAUUUAGGCUGAUAAGACGCUGGGCUCACUGAUUUUUCUUUAAUAGAAUAUCAGUUUGAUUCAGCAGAACCUUGACAACUGCAUAGGAAAGUCUGGAAAGAAUAAAGCAUCUCAUAAGAUGUAUAGAAAUUAUUUUCAACUUUUUGUUGAUUAGAUUUCUAUAUUCAAUUCUUGAGUUAGAGCAAAUUUUCUAUUACUUAAUUCACUUUUUCAUAAGUGAUUUGCUGAUUAAUUUUAGCUUAGUUCAAUAGAAUAAU
rnacentral:tRNA from 1 species